CCUACGGGGGGCAGCAGUGAGGAAUAUUGGUCAAUGGGCUUACGCCUGAACCAGCCAAGUCGCGUGAGGGAAGACUGCCCUAUGGGUUGUAAACCUCUUUUGUCAGGGAGCAACGCCGGCUACGUGUAGCCGGACUGAGAGUACCUGAAGAAAAAGCAUCGGCAAACUCGGUGCCAGCAGCCGCGGUAAUACGGAGGAUGCGAGCGUUAUCCGGAUUAAUUGGGUUUAAAGGGUGCGUAGUCGGAAUGCCAAGUCAGCGGUAAAAUCGCGGGGCUCAACCGCGCUCCGCCGUUGAAACUGGCGUUCUUGAGAGGUGGAGAAGUAUGUAGAAUGCGAGGUGUAGCGGUGAAAUGCAUAGAUAGCACGCAGAAC
rnacentral:rRNA from 1 species